rnacentral:lncRNA from 1 species
CUGGGAAACACCGACACCCAUAGGUGCACGUCCAGUCUCACCUGAACCAGUGUUUUUAAAUAUCCGAGGUCACACCCAGUAUCCUGAUCUGCUCAAAGUUUUCAUUCACCUUUGCACAAAAGAGGUGCAGAAUCGUGGAUCUCCAUCUGGGGAGACCCUCCAAGGGCCAGUGGGAAACAGGAACCCAACAGCGUCUCAAGUGGAAAAUCUGGGGACUCUUCCAGGAGCCGUUUUCCCUUGGUGGAAUUUCUGAUUUUUAUUGCUUGGUGUGAAGUAGAGGAACUAAGCCACAGAUUCUGGUUUUUGUCAACCCUACAAACGGUGGCACUCAGUGAUCCCAGGAUUGCUCUGUCCCUUAGAAGAUGGAUCAAUGCCAAUGGAUAUCAUCUUUGACCUUGUUAAUGAUGUUCUUUCAAGAAUGAUGUUCUCUGCUGAACCUGUGUAUAUGCUCUUUUUGUGGAGAAAAACACACUUCCCAGAUUCAAAUUUAUAACGAAGGCAAUUUUUAUUAUUUUUUUAAUUAUUUUUUUUUUUAGAGAGAGAAUAUCUAUUUUUUAGUUAUCAGCGGACACAACAUCUUUGUUCGUAUGUGAUGCUGAGGAUUGAACCCAGGCCGCACGCAUGCCAGGUGAGCGCGCUACCGCUUGAGCCACAUCUCCAGCCCUCGAAGGCAAUUCUUAAAAAAUAAAGUUUUGAAUGUCUGAAAAAAAAAAAAGAAUAAUGGCUGACAAACCCCAAUAAAUCCUAGUAUGAAUUAGUAACUUCAGAUGAAAUUAAUGGAAACAUCUGAAAAAAGGACUUUAAGGUGAGCAUAUUUCGGGUGCGUCGUGAAAAUAAAGGCUGAUACUGUCUGGGAAGAGAACAGGAUGUGGGGAGAAGGCAGGGGCUCCGGGGGCUUUUAAAAGAAAAUAAGGCUGACCCACAUUUCCAGGAAGAUGGAGGAAAUGUGCUCUUCCCUGUUCCUUCCCAAAGCUCACGCCUAACAAGAAACCCCACAGGACUCCCACAGGUGGGGAGAAGGCCGCUGGCUGGCGAGCUCCGGUUUUCUUGGGCCUCACUUGUCCCAGACUUGGAUGGAAGAAGCUGGCGGCCCGCCAGGCGGCAGGUGCAGGAGAGAGCUCAGCACCGCAGUCCCACUCCCUAGGUGAAGCCCAGCGGGGGUGACCAGGCAGACAGACAGCCACCUCUGCUGGCCCCAGCCAGGCAUCAGCAGCGCUCCUCAGACUCACCCCAGGGCUGGGGUCACUGGGGCUCCGGCCAGCGCUGCCGAGCACGUGUGAGGCGCUGGGUUCCAUCCUCAGCAUCACAUAAAAAACAGACAAAAUAAAGGCCUGCUGUCCUUCUGCAGCUACAAAAAGAUGUGUUUUUUAAAAGUUUAUCUGCAGAUUCAACACGAUCCCUGUGAGACCCGGCUGCCUUGCAGCGUGUGCUGGAUCUAAGAUUCAUGUAGAGAUUCAAAGGAACUCGCACAGGCAAGACGAUCGUUCAGGAGAACAAGGUGGAAGGGCCACACGUUGCCACUUCAAAACCGGCCCUCGAAGCCGUAGAGAUGAAGAAUACGAAGCCUCACACAUGGUCACCUCCUCCUCAACCAGGGGGCCACCAGUAUUCAGCAAGCAAGGAAGAAUGUCUGAAACCUCACGUCACAGAGAGGCCGUGUGUGUGAGCGCUGCUGGGGACAGACCGAGGGCCUGAGGGACAGGCAGCACUGUCAGGCUCAGGAGAGAAUCUGGGGCAGAGCCUGUGGCCUGGAAUGGAGCGAUGGUUUCUGCCAUGUGUCGCUGAAGUCCAAGUGACACAAGGAAAGAUUGAUAAACCGGAUUUCACCAGCAUAGAAAGGUUCAUGUUUCAGAUGACUUGUCCAGGUGGCGAAGGACGUCGGACACACAGAGGGGAGAGAAUAUUUGUACCCUGUGGAUCUGACGAGGGUCCACUAUCCAGAGUAUACCAAGGACUCUGGCAACUCCGUAAAAAAAGAUGAACAGCCCAAGUUUCCAUUGAGCCUGGUGGGAUCUGAAUGGGCCUCCUCCAGAGAAGACAGACAGGAAAGAUACUGGCAUCGACUGCCAUCCAGGACCCGCAGAUCCAGACCCUGUGUCACUCCCAGCCUGAGUGCUGCCGUCAUCUAAAAGAUCAUGCCAUGCUGGUGACAGUGUGGGGACCUGGACCCUCCCUGCUGGUGGGAAUGGCAAAGGGUGCCCAUCGGGCAUAAGGGGCGUGGGGGUGCUUUGCAGGGCAAGUGGCUAAAGGUAAUUAAAACCGUGCGUUUCCUGAACUUUAUGUAUCGUCCAGCGCGUCACAUUAUGGCAGGGGUAGACCUGUAGGUGUCCUGAUGAUUUUCUGAAGUUGAUUUUCUUCCUUCAAUGCGGUCUUUUUACUCUUGAUUUGGUGACGGAGUAGCUUUCCGUCUCACUACAGUUGCAUUCUGUGAACGUGGAUUUGGAUCUGUUGGCGUCUUCAGGUUCUUCUUCUCUGCAGACCGUGUUUUAACUGAGAAGAUUCUCCUUCUGCAGGCAGAGGUGCCAGGUAAGCUCAGGAGGACGAGGCUAAAUGCAGGUAUUUAUUCUCGAUUCUCCUCUUCUCGACUGAUAUGUGUAAAGGGUCCAGCUCAGGUGUCCCCAGUCUUUUGGCCUCUGUUCAGGGGGACUUUCUCCUAUGAAUAUUUCUAUGAGCCGACACUUUAAAAAAGAUCAUGAUUCUUUUGAACAUUUCAUCAAAUUUAGAUGCUGCAAAGUAAUAAACCCUUUUCAUUUCCUUCCUUUCCAAAUAUAAAUUUUUCCAGUUAGAACUAGGACUCUCAUGAAAAGGUCCUCCCGUGUGUUGACGGAUUCCUAAAACAACGGUGGAUUUAACCCUGGACCUCUUCCCCCAGUGGUGCUCUCCGCACUUAAUUCCUGUCUCCACCUUGGCUUCCGGGGAGGAUCGUAGCCUCUCUUCUGGCACCGAGUGUCCCUAAUCCUUCCGCUUCCCCGAGGCUCCAGGGCUCAGAGUCCUUGGCACUCAUUUAUUGAACACUUUGGUUAAAAGAUUUCCUGCAGAUGGAACACAAUGAAAACUCCGAGGAAUUCUUGAGCAACACUCCAGCCUGCACUAGGACUCGGGGUGGAUGUACCGAGCCGUUUCCCGAGGGUUCCAGCGUUUUUAGGGGCUGAUUAAUGACAAACAAAACCAAGAAGGACACCCUGUGGGUUGAAGCCUGUUCUUCUAUUCACACUCAGCUUUGUCACAGAAAUGUUCAGAGCCCCACCUCUCCAACUGUGGACGAGAACGUUUCCUAAUGUGGACCACGCAGCUUCUGCUUUGAUUCCUAGACUCUCAGAGGUGACUUGGAUGCAAAUUCUGAUCACGUGCUCACCUCCACUGGUGAUCUGCUCCGCAGGGUUCCUAAAGGGCGCUGGUGUGAAGGGCCUUGGAAUCCUCUCUCUUUGGCCCCCUGGAUCCCGUGUGUCUUUGGAUCUCUGUUUGGACCUGGACUGGUACCAGUCCCUUUGGAAAACCAUUUGGCACAAGUUUGUAAAGAUGAAGAUGGAAUUCCCACCCCCAGAUCUCGCGUGUCCUGGGAAGGACGGUGCAGGCAGUGACUG